AUUUGGACCUCACGUCUACGUAUUGCCAUCUGGCGGAUUUUUCAAUCGCGAAAACCCUCAUUGGCAUAGAUUAUGAGAGACUGACAACUAUACUAGGUUGAUAUCAGGUGAUCCGUCUGCUCAUUUGCCUC